GGCUCGGUAGCUUAGUUGGUAAAGCGCUCGUCUUGCAUACAAGAGUCCUGGGUUCAAAUCUCAGCCGAGCAC
rfam:Aedes aegypti strain Liverpool supercont1.166 genomic scaffold, whole genome shotgun sequence.